rnacentral:misc_RNA from 1 species
GAUGAAGAACGUAGCGAAAUGCGAUAAGUAAUGUGAAUUGCAGAAUUCAGUGAAUCAUCGAAUCUUUGAACGCACAUUGCGCCCGCCAGUAUUCUGGCAGGCAUGCCUGUCCGAGCGUCAUUUCAACCCUCGAACCCCUCCGGGGGGUCGGCGUUGGGGACCUCGGGAGCCCCUAAGACGGGAUCCCGGCCCCGAAAUACAGUGGCGGUCUCGCCGCAGCCUCUCCUGCGCAGUAGUUUGCACAACUCGCACCGGGAGCGCGGCGCGUCCACGUCCGUAAAACACCCAACUUCUGAAAUGUUGACCUCGGAUCAGGUAGGAAUACCCGCUGAACUUAAGCAUAUCAAUAAGCGGAGGA